UUAGAAGGGACCAGGCUGUGCAUUCAAGAAGGACAGUUAAAGAUUUCGGCCCUUAACAACAAUCUGAGACUGCCACAAAUAUAGAGGAAAUAUCUUGUAGAUCUCCUGCCUUCCACCAACACUUCAGAACUGAGCCCUUGUGAUACACACUGAAGUGCUGCUGUGCUAUAGGGAAUAUUUGCCUGUUUUUGUAGUAACAUCAUGGAAGGGAGUGCAAAAACCCACAUGGUGAAUGGCACAACUGAGUCACCAUCCUGAGCCAUCCCUUCUCUAACCAUGGGAGUCACCUCUCCAAAAAUGAGAAGCACUUUGUAUCCACAGUUAUUGGGAGCAGCACUGUAGUUGUGCCAACAACAAUAUCUGUGGGAAGAUGCCCCAAUGGGGCAGGUUCUGUCCUGCCAAGACCAUGAAACACAGAGAAGCCAACCCAGGCAAGGAAAGAUCUGGUUUCCCACAUGCCUGCAUCCCCUCACUCCCACAGACCACGCCUCUCGCAGCUCCCAUAAUUCAGACCCAGAAGAAAACAUGCCCAACCAAAAGGACUAAGCAAGGCUGAAGCAAACACAAAGCAAAUUGCAGCAAUAGGGGAAAAAGCAAAUAGAGCCAUUCCUGAUAAGCAGGGAAGCUCAGCCUCAUGUCAGAGUGAAGCAAACACUUUCAUUCAUGACAAAGGGAUAUGGAGCAACCCAGCUACUUGUUCCAGAAAGAUCUCCAAACAAGCAUCUCCAAGAACCCUAAGGACAUGGCUAACAUGGCACUAAGCUAAUGAACUCUGCUCCAGUUCUGCUGACAAAGAGGGAGAGAAGGCUGUCAGCACCCAGAGAAGCACAUAAAAACAAAAUCCUCUACUUCUGAAAGCAUUUUUCAGUUUCUCCAAGAAAAAUUUAGUGGUUACUUCCAGGAAAUGGCAAACUGAAGCUUUGCCUUGGUUCAAGAACAGAGCAGAAGAAACCUCCAGAAAUCAGAGCAACUCACCUUGCACACAGCAGCCUGCAAAAUGGCAUCGAAGCCGCCCUCGGGAGCAUCUCGGUUGCGGGAAACUUUCUGUUUCUGGACUUCUUCAUUGAAACGGUCGACUUUAUCCGUCAGGGACAGGAGGUGGCGGAAGCCAAAGGAUGGGACACAGCUGGGGAACAGCUUAUAACUGUGGGAAGAACAGAGGAGUGGUCAGCCGGGAGGAACUGCACCCGCGGCCAAGAACUGGAGAAGCUCCCAGCUCUACCAGGUUGGUCUCUAAGAUUUUGUUCAGAGGGUUGGAAUACUCUGGCAGUGCUUCAUAUUUUGGACACUUCAAUUUCUGGCUAUUUCUCUACAAAGCCCUACAGUAGAGCCCAUAUUAUUUCCCCCCUCAGGGGCUUUCAGAAGCUGAAGUUUCCAGAGAUCGCACCAGGAGUGAACAUCUCUCUCCAUGUACCAUGGUGAAACCUGUUCUUCCAAACUCAAGGAUUAAUGGAUAAUUUAAGCUGGGCCUGCUAAUGCAAGGGUUUAGGAAGUCAUCAGCUUGAAGGUGAAGUGUUGCCCAACAACAAAAAAGAGAACAAAAAUGGGAGAUACUAUCACAAACAUCUGGGUUUGUCCCUCCUCUUGCAAUGACCGUGAUGCUCUGCAAGAGUAGCACAGGGAGAGGAGUGCACUGGCUCAGAGUGGGAAUUGCUGGAGGGGUCCUCAGGGUGAUUCCUGCAGUUCAGC